UCGUGAUUGUGUUCGGCAACUGCUAAUGAGUAUAUUUGUUUUAGUCUUAAGGCUCUUUCAUGUUCUGUGAGCCUAGUUGAUAUUUUUUGUCCUGUCUUUCCAAUGUAUUCUUUGCCGCAUAUGCAUGGAAUGCUCUAAACUGGCAUCGCAAAUGGAAUUUGCCGAAUCGAAGAUGAAAGAUUUUUGGUUAGAAAAUCUGGCUUUGAGUGAUGUUUUGAAUGUAAGGAAGGACCACAGUUUGCAAGUGUAGGAUCGCUUUCGGCUUCGUUGCUAUUGGAAGGUUCUGGUGAAGUGUAUUUUGUGAUCGAACGCGUGAUAUCUGUCAGGACAUCUUUAUUGUGCAAAUUAUUAGAGAGAAGAGCAGAGGUCAGUGACUCGGGCUGAAAUAGUUUUGGUUACCGAUGAUUUUUGGGUCGGACGGUGAUGUGAACAUGUGGUAACCCAAAUAGCACAAAGACGUCCGUAAAACAUCCUCGGGAUAUCUGACAGGACAUGGCGUCUAUCCUAGAGAUAUACUGUUUCAGCUAAGGGGCAUCCUUAAGACGUCGCAAGGAUAUACGAUGUUACUAAUAUCAGAUGCCUAUGUCCGUAGGACGUUUGUUAGGACAUACUAAGGAUAUCCAGUUAUACUAGUUCAGAUAUGGUUAUUUCCAACAGCCUAUUAGAAAUGCUAGAAAGGUAUGGUCCAGUAGUCCAAUUGGUUGUACGACUAUAAAAAUUCUAUCCCAGUAUUUGGUACUCGCGUGUGAUGGAAUUAACCUAUUGGGUAUGGUUGGUGAAGUCAUCACUGGAAUAGCAGGGAUUCGCUCAGCGUUGCACUCAUCAAAACAUUGGUCCUUCGAAACGGAUAUUACGCAGAUUCAUUCAAGUAUCCAAGUCUACACACACAAGGCUAAAAACUUAAGUUGACACGGCAUCCAUACACACAAGAAGAUUCAAGCAAGCUUACGGGACCUACGUUCUCUCAAAGGAAUUAAGGAACACGCAAUCUCAAGUUAUAACUGCGAACAAAUCAAUAAAAUGCCGAGAGACGAACUUUGCGCGGAGGUAAGAAAAAACAGGUUGUGUUUGAACUGUUUACGGCCAAAUCAUUCACAGCAACAAUGUAAAUCCGUGAAAAAUUAGAAAAAGAGAGGGAGAGCGCGCGCACGUGCGAGGAAGAACGUGCUUAACGUUUUCGCGUUCGAACUUGGCAUCGAUAGCACGCCGAUAGUGUUGAACCCCCAAAAGAAAAAAACUAUUGACUCCCUCCGCAUUGCGUGUGCCUGUGAACCACCUCCGCCGUACCGAGACCGUGAUCCUCAAGAUCGGAGAGGAGCUGCUAUUGGGGCCCCAGUCCAGCGAGACAGCAGCGACAAGAGCAUCCCACAAAAACCGUUCCCCACGGCAAACGGUACAACUUGUGUGAAACUUUUUGGUGUUGUUGGAUAGAGGAAGGACGUAGAUUUGCGCAAUCCAAAAACAAUGGCAACCCCGACCAUUCAAAUUGAAGAUAAUUUAAAUGAUCUUCCACCUAUUGAUGUAGCAGAAAAAAAUAACGACAGGGAAAUGAGUGGUAAGUGUAAUUAAGAAACCAAUAAUUAAUUUUUUAGAUUUAAUUAGUAGUAAAAUAAAAAAAUUGCAAAAAUUAAAAGAGUUUAUUAUUACUAAAAUAUAUAUACAAUAAAAAUUACAUUAAAUAACUACUAAUAAAAUUCUUCCCAUUACUUUUCGAAAUAAAUAAGAGAUAUGACUAGAAACUUUCUACUUCUGGAUAACAAUUUUUUAUGCGAAAUAAGUCCAGAUAUAAUGACGUUCUAUAUACUAUAUAUACUAUUUUUUAUUUAACGUCUAGAUAAAAUUGAAGAUUUAAAGAAAAUUAAUAAAGAACAACAAAUAGAAAUUGAAAAAUUAAAAAAAAAGAAAACGAAAAAGUAGAGGGAAGAAUUUUUUAUAACAGAGGGGAAAGAGGACAACGAAGAGGUGGAACAAGAGCCGGAAGAGGUGGAAGAAGAGCCGGAAGGGGUGGAAGAGGAAUGGGAAGGGGUCGAAGAGGAAUGGGAAGAAAUUACUAUUUAA